GACAGAGGGUGCGAACGUUGUUCGGAAUUACUGGGCGUAAAGGGCUCGAUAGGCGGCCAACGUAAGUCAGAUCGUGAAAAUCCCCUCGGCUUAAACCGGGGAACGUGCGUCUACGAUACUGGUUGGCUUGAAUCCGGGAGAGGGAUGUGGAAUUCCAGGUGAUAGGCGGGUGAAAUGCGUAGAUAUCUGGAGGAACACCGGUGGCGAA
rnacentral:rRNA from 1 species